GAUUAGAGCAGUACAAGCAUCAGUCUCUCUUGAUAGCAUUUACUUUUUCUUUUUGAAUUUCAGGAUUAGCUGUUUUUAGUUGUAUGGUCUUUGUAGGAAUGGCCACUCGAAUGUGGCAUCGACGAUCGAUUAUGAAACCAUGAUCGUGUGGGUUUAUUUAUUUUUUGUGGUUAUGGCAGCAUUUGGUUAGCAUUACAACUUUUAAAUAUUGAUUAUGAUGAACUAUGCAUGUGCAUAAUGAAACACCUGUUCUUGUCGCAGGUCCUGGCAUAUACAGGUAGAUACAACAAUAAAAUGCUCACUACUGUUUCACCAUGCGAGAAUGCAUGAGAAAAGUCAGGAAUCGAUCAAAAGAAUCAAAAUGCGUGCAUCGUAACGAAUCCCCGGUUCUUUAAAGUUUUAAUCGGUUCUAAAAUGAAACUGAUUCUUCAUACCCAACCCUAGACUCUGUCUUUGUUCACCAGUGGUCCCUUUUUUCCCUGUGACGGAGCAUGUUGUCAUUUUUUCUAAGGUGGAAAUGGAGUCCAUCACAGUUCUGAGUAACAUAAGUGUAUGGAAUUGAAACGACAUAAGGGUUGAUGAUGACAAGGUGAUGACACAAAGGAGCUUCCAUUGCCUUUAUUGCAACUAGGACUGACAAUAAUGUCUGCAAACCCUUCUCC